rnacentral:lncRNA from 1 species
CAUUUUUUAUAGUAGUGGGAGAAAAGCUGACAAGUAUAGUUAUAGCAGCUGAAAAGCCUUUAUUGUAUCCUCUUAUUCUGAGUUAUUUAUAACUUAUGACCCUGCAUUUAUAGUCUUCUUCUCAUAGAAAAAUGUCUAUCUCAUCUGGGACAACUGCAAAUAAUUCAACAAUGAAGAUUUUCAACACAGCAGCUGAGAAAAAGCAUCAAGUAAAAAUCUGAAAGAUGAACUGCCUACUCUGCAUUAGACAAGGAGAAGAUGUAGAAAUUAAUCACUUUCCAUAAACUGAUGUUAUUAAGGGUUUUUAAGAUGCUGAAUAGUCCCUCAAGUUUCUUCAGGUGGAGGGGGAGAUGGAUCCUAAGCAUAUUUUCCUUCUUCUGCAUGAAAAUGAAUGCAUCCAAGACCAGCUGACAUAUUGAUCUGAAUUUACAGAGCUCUAGUCAUCCUUCAGCUUCUCCAGCAUUCUGGAUACAGGAGAAAUGGCUGAACAGAAGAGAAAUGAAAUGGCUGCACAGAAGAGAGAGCGAACUAAGGCAUUUUCCUUAUGGUUUCUUGAUAAGAAGUAUUAGCUUCUGCAAAUAACAAGGUGUAUAAAAGAGAAUUAGAAUAAUAUCCCAGAGCUUGAAAACUGAAGCUCAUUCAACAUUUUCUGGCCACUCUCAGGGACAGGAAUAAAAUGAAAGUCACUGUACA